rnacentral:rRNA from 1 species
AACGAACGCUGGCGGCAUGCCUAACACAUGCAAGUCGAACGAGACCUUCGGGUCUAGUGGCGCACGGGUGCGUAACGCGUGGGAAUCUGCCCUUGGGUUCGGAAUAACAGUUAGAAAUGACUGCUAAUACCGGAUGAUGUCUUCGGACCAAAGAUUUAUCGCCCAAGGAUGAGCCCGCGUCGGAUUAGCUAGUUGGUGAGGUAAAGGCUCACCAAGGCGACGAUCCGUAGCUGGUCUGAGAGGAUGAUCAGCCACACUGGGACUGAGACACGGCCCAGACUCCUACGGGAGGCAGCAGUGGGGAAUAUUGGACAAUGGGCGAAAGCCUGAUCCAGCAAUGCCGCGUGAGUGAUGAAGGCCUUAGGGUUGUAAAGCUCUUUUACCCGGAAUGAUAAUGACAGUACCGGGAGAAUAAGCCCCGGCUAACUCCGUGCCAGCCGCCGCGGUAAAAC